AACAUGCAAGUUUUUCCUCACCCUCAAGUUGUUGCCUGGUUCACUUUCAAUUAUUUUCAAGGGUCAUUACACUAACAGCCAAUUCUAAUGAAGAGCUGAGUUAAUAACUACCUACAUCUAGUACUUGCAAAAAUUUAGGGUAACCUACAU